rnacentral:rRNA from 1 species
AUCAGCCGGUACUCCGAAUGCNCUAGAUUUAAAGUUUGAUCAUGGCUCAGAGNGAACGCUGGCGGUAGGCCUAACACAUGCAAGUCGAACGGCAGCACAGGAGAGCUUGCUCUCUGGGUGGCGAGUGGCGGACGGGUGAGGAAUACAUCGGAAUCUACUCUGUCGUGGGGGAUAACGUAGGGAAACUUACGCUAAUACCGCAUACGACCUACGGGUGAAAGCAGGGGAUCUUCGGACCUUGCGCGAUUGAAUGAGCCGAUGUCGGAUUAGCUAGUUGGCGGGGUAAAGGCCCACCAAGGCGACGAUCCGUAGCUGGUCUGAGAGGAUGAUCAGCCACACUGGAACUGAGACACGGUCCAGACUCCUACGGGAGGCAGCAGUGGGGAAUAUUGGACAAUGGGCGCAAGCCUGAUCCAGCCAUACCGCGUGGGUGAAGAAGGCCUUCGGGUUGUAAAGCCCUUUUGUUGGGAAAGAAAUCCAGCUGGCUAAUACCUGGUUGGGAUGACGGUACCCAAAGAAUAAGCACCGGCUAACUUCGUGCCAGCAGCCGCGGUAAUACGAAGGGUGCAA